rnacentral:rRNA from 1 species
GACGAACGCUGGCGGCGUGCUUAACACAUGCAAGUCGAGCGGUAAGGCCCUUUCGGGGGUACACGAGCGGCGAACGGGUAGAGUAACACGUGGGUGACCUGCCCUUAGCUCUGGGAUAAGCCUGGGAAACUGGGUCUAAUACCGGAUAUGACUCCAUGACGCAUGUUGUGGGGUGGAAAGCCUUGUGCGGCUAGGGAUGGGCCCGCGGCCUAUCAGCUUGUUGGUGGGGUGAUGGCCUACCAAGGCGACGACGGGUAGCCGGCCUGAGAGGGCGACCGGCCACACUGGGACUGAGACACGGCCCAGACUCCUACGGGAGGCAGCAGUGGGGAAUCUUGCGCAAUGGGCGAAAGCCUGACGCAGCGACGCCGC